AAAAGCAGUUCAACUUCAGAGAUUGUUAACACUGCUUACUGCCGGCUACUAGGAAGGAGAUUUGUUGGAUGAAUUCCCACGUGAUAGGGGCCUUUUGCAGAAGGAUUUGAUUUUUUUGAAUCCCAGAGAAGUAAGAAAAAUGGAUGGAACCUGAGGACAUCACAUCAAGCAAGAGAAGCCAGACCCAGGAAGAUAAAGGCCACAUGUGCUCUUACAUAAAUGGAAAAAGGUCAACCAAAAGUACACUGUUCUGUUGAACUGCAGGGAUGAAUAUAAACAAACAAGGAAAUGAAGUAUCCAGUCAUGAUCCUGUGACAAAUGCAGCUGAAAGGCCGGGUCUCCAUGGGAUACAGAAAAAGCUCAAGCUGUCCUAAGGAGAAGACACCUGGAGUGCUCUCUACUCAGACGUCCUGGUCUUUGGCGAGUUGGAGGCUUUAGGAGAUACAUCAGGCAUCACCUUUGUGCCAGUCCAUCA